rnacentral:tRNA from 1 species
GCGGGCAUGGCGGAAUGGUAGACGCAACGGACUUAAAAUCCGUCGGGGAGACCCGUGCCGGUUCGAGUCCGGCUGCCCGCACCA